GGUUAAGCGACUAAGCGUACACGGUGGAUGCCCUGGCAGUCAGAGGCGAUGAAGGACGUGCUAAUCUGCGAUAAGCGUCGGUAAGGUGAUAUGAACCGUUAUAACCGGCGAUUUCCGAAUGGGGAAACCCAGUGUGUUUCGACACACUAUCAUUAACUGAAUCCAUAGGUUAAUGAGGCGAACCGGGGGAACUGAAACAUCUAAGUACCCCGAGGAAAAGAAAUCAACCGAGAUUCCCCCAGUAGCGGCGAGCGAACGGGGAGGAGCCCAGAGCCUGAAUCAGUGUGUGUGUUAGUGGAAGCGUCUGGAAAGGCGCGCGAUACAGGGUGACAGCCCCGUACACAAAAAUGCACAUGCUGUGAGCUCGAUGAGUAGGGCGGGACACGUGGUAUCCUGUCUGAAUAUGGGGGGACCAUCCUCCAAGGCUAAAUACUCCUGACUGACCGAUAGUGAACCAGUACCGUGAGGGAAAGGCGAAAAGAACCCCGGCGAGGGGAGUGAAAAAGAACCUGAAACCGUGUACGUACAAGCAGUGGGAGCACGCUUAGGCGUGUGACUGCGUACCUUUUGUAUAAUGGGUCAGCGACUUAUAUUCUGUAGCAAGGUUAACCGAAUAGGGGAGCCGAAGGGAAACCGAGUCUUAACUGGGCGUUAAGUUGCAGGGUAUAGACCCGAAACCCGGUGAUCUAGCCAUGGGCAGGUUGAAGGUUGGGUAACACUAACUGGAGGACCGAACCGACUAAUGUUGAAAAAUUAGCGGAUGACUUGUGGCUGGGGGUGAAAGGCCAAUCAAACCGGGAGAUAGCUGGUUCUCCCCGAAAGCUAUUUAGGUAGCGCCUCGUGAAUUCAUCUCCGGGGGUAGAGCACUGUUUCGGCAAGGGGGUCAUCCCGACUUACCAACCCGAUGCAAACUGCGAAUACCGGAGAAUGUUAUCACGGGAGACACACGGCGGGUGCUAACGUCCGUCGUGAAGAGGGAAACAACCCAGACCGCCAGCUAAGGUCCCAAAGUCAUGGUUAAGUGGGAAACGAUGUGGGAAGGCCCAGACAGCCAGGAUGUUGGCUUAGAAGCAGCCAUCAUUUAAAGAAAGCGUAAUAGCUCACUGGUCGAGUCGGCCUGCGCGGAAGAUGUAACGGGGCUAAACCAUGCACCGAAGCUGCGGCAGCGACGCUUAUGCGUUGUUGGGUAGGGGAGCGUUCUGUAAGCCUGUGAAGGUGUGCUGUGAGGCAUGCUGGAGGUAUCAGAAGUGCGAAUGCUGACAUAAGUAACGAUAAAGCGGGUGAAAAGCCCGCUCGCCGGAAGACCAAGGGUUCCUGUCCAACGUUAAUCGGGGCAGGGUGAGUCGACCCCUAAGGCGAGGCCGAAAGGCGUAGUCGAUGGGAAACAGGUUAAUAUUCCUGUACUUGGUGUUACUGCGAAGGGGGGACGGAGAAGGCUAUGUUGGCCGGGCGACGGUUGUCCCGGUUUAAGCGUGUAGGCUGGUUUUCCAGGCAAAUCCGGAAAAUCAAGGCUGAGGCGUGAUGACGAGGCACUACGGUGCUGAAGCAACAAAUGCCCUGCUUCCAGGAAAAGCCUCUAAGCAUCAGGUAACAUCAAAUCGUACCCCAAACCGACACAGGUGGUCAGGUAGAGAAUACCAAGGCGCUUGAGAGAACUCGGGUGAAGGAACUAGGCAAAAUGGUGCCGUAACUUCGGGAGAAGGCACGCUGAUAUGUAGGUGAAGCGACUUGCUCGUGGAGCUGAAAUCAGUCGAAGAUACCAGCUGGCUGCAACUGUUUAUUAAAAACACAGCACUGUGCAAACACGAAAGUGGACGUAUACGGUGUGACGCCUGCCCGGUGCCGGAAGGUUAAUUGAUGGGGUUAGCGCAAGCGAAGCUCUUGAUCGAAGCCCCGGUAAACGGCGGCCGUAACUAUAACGGUCCUAAGGUAGCGAAAUUCCUUGUCGGGUAAGUUCCGACCUGCACGAAUGGCGUAAUGAUGGCCAGGCUGUCUCCACCCGAGACUCAGUGAAAUUGAACUCGCUGUGAAGAUGCAGUGUACCCGCGGCAAGACGGAAAGACCCCGUGAACCUUUACUAUAGCUUGACACUGAACAUUGAGCCUUGAUGUGUAGGAUAGGUGGGAGGCUUUGAAGUGUGGACGCCAGUCUGCAUGGAGCCGACCUUGAAAUACCACCCUUUAAUGUUU
rnacentral:rRNA from 1 species